AUACAUCGGAAUCUACUUUUUCGUGGGGGAUAACGUAGGGAAACUUACGCUAAUACCGCAUACGACCUACGGGUGAAAGCAGGGGAUCUUCGGACCUUGCGCGAUUGAAUGAGCCAAUGUCGGAUUAGCUGGUUGGCGGGGUAAAGGCCCACCAAGGCGACGAUCCGUAGCUGGUCUGAGAGGAUGAUCAGCCACACUGGAACUGAGACACGGCCCAAACUCCUACGGGAGGCAGCAGUGGGGAAUAUUGGACAAUGGGCGCAAGCCUGAUCCAGCCAUACCGCGUGGGUGAAGAAGGCCUUCGGGUUGUAAAGCCCUUUUGUUGGGAAAGAAAUCCAGCUGGCUAAUACCCGGUUGGGAUGACGGUACCCAAAGAAUAAGCACCGGCUAACUUCGUGCCAGCAGCCGCGGUAAUACGAAGGGUGCAAGCGUUCUCGGAAUUACUGGGCGUAAAGCGUGCGUAGGUGGUCGUUUAGUCCGUUGUGAACCCCUGGGCUCAACCUGGGACU
rnacentral:rRNA from 1 species